rnacentral:rRNA from 1 species
GAUGAACGCUGGCGGCGUGCUUAACACAUGCAAGUCGAACGAUGAACCCGCUUGCGGGGGAUUAGUGGCGAACGGGUGAGUAACACGUGAGUAACCUGCCCUUAACUCUGGGAUAAGCCUUGGAAACGGGGUCUAAUACUGGAUAUUGACUUUUCCUCGCAUGGGGGAUUGGUUGAAAGAUUUUAUUGGUUUUGGAUGGACUCGCGGCCUAUCAGCUUGUGGUGAGGUAAUGGCUCACCAAGACGAUGAUACGUAGCCGACCUGAGAGGGGUGAUC